CCUACGGGAGGCUGCAGUGAGGAAUAUUGGUCAAUGGACGAGAGUCUGAACCAGCCAAUUAGCGUGAAGGAUGACUGCCCUAUGGGUUGUAAACUUCUUUUAUAUGGGAAUAAAAUGUUCCACGUGUGGGAUUUUGUAUGUACCAUAUGAAUAAGGAUCGGCUAACUCCGUGCCAGCAGCCGCGGUAAUACGGAGGAUCCGAGCGUUAUCCGGAUUUAUUGGGUUUAAAGGGAGCGUAGGUGGAUUGUUAAGUCAGUUGUGAAAGUUUGCGGCUCAACCGUAAAAUUGCAGUUGAAACUGGCAGUCUUGAGUACAGUAGAGGUGGGCGGAAUUCGUGGUGUAGCGGUGAAAUGCUUAGAUAUCACGAAGAACUCCGAUUGCGAAGGCAGUUCACUGGACUGCAACUGACACUGAGGCUCGAAAGUGUGGGUAUCAAACAGGAUUAGAUACCCGAGUAGUC
rnacentral:rRNA from 1 species